rnacentral:rRNA from 1 species
AUUGAACGCUGGCGGCAGGCCUAACACAUGCAAGUCGAGCGGCAGCGGGAAAGUAGCUUGCUACUUUUGCCGGCGAGCGGCGGACGGGUGAGUAAUGCCUGGGAAAUUGCCCAGUCGAGGGGGAUAACAGUUGGAAACGACUGCUAAUACCGCAUACGCCCUACGGGGGAAAGCAGGGGACCUUCGGGCCUUGCGCGAUUGGAUAUGCCCAGGUGGGAUUAGCUAGUUGGUGAGGUAAUGGCUCACCAAGGCGACGAUCCCUAGCUGGUCUGAGAGGAUGAUCAGCCACGCGGGAACUGAGACACGGUCCAGACUCCGACGGGAGGCAGCAGUGGGGAAUAUUGCACAAUGGGGGAAACCCUGAUGCAGCCAUGCCGCGUGUGUGAAGAAGGCCUUCGGGUUGUAAAGCACUUUCAGCGAGGAGGAAAGGUUGAUGCCUAAUACGUAUCAACUGUGACGUUACUCGCAGAAGAAGCACCGGCUAACUCCGUGCCAGCCGCCGCAGUAACAC